GCGGUAUUAGCUCAGCUGGAAAGCGCAGGUCUCAUAUAUCCUGAGGUCAUGAGUUCGAGUCUCAUAUACCGCA
rnacentral:tRNA from 1 species